GAAGGCAUGGACAUGACCAAAGCCCUUAAAAGACACAAACAGGUGGGAGAGCGUGCUAGGGGUGGGCGGAGGGCUGGAGGGUACAAAAGGAGGAGGCUGGCCUUCCGAGAGCAGAGACAGAGAAGGCCAGGGCGAGCCUGCCCCCGGGAACAGGAGGAGAGGGGGCAGCGGAGGAGGUCCCACCUAGGCGGGACACAAUGAGAGGUAAAGCUAGAAAAAAGGACAGAACUAAAGGGAUGAAGGACAAAUGAGCGGAGCAGACACAAAUAGGGAUAAAAGACGGAUGGUCAGGAAGGGAUGCACCUAAAGGAAAGACAAAGAGGAUUUCUCUGUGUGUGACUAUGAGGGUAGUGAUUAAGAAGACACCAGUGAAAAGAAAGGGAAGAAACAGGAAAGGGGAACAAGUGAGGAGACAAAAAUAAGUCAUAAGUGCGCAGGACAGGCUAAAUACUCAGCAAGUCACCAGGCUGUUAGGCUGACUGGGAGAAGCACCAUAGCCAGACCCCAAAAGGAACCAUCAGAAGGACAGAGGCAGGCAAUUUUAGUAGCUAGCUCCUGAGAUAAAAAUGAGAAGAAAAAAAAAAAAUAGAAGAUGGAAAAGGUGAGAAGCAGGAGAGGGAAAACCCAGAGGAGACACUGGCCCAGAAACCUUUUUAACUUUCUGUAAGAAUCUUCAAGGCCCCAAACUAGGCCAAGAUGCUGACUGACAUUUCUGAGCUCACCAGCUGCUGUUUCCUUGAGAGAAUUCUGACAGGAAGGCAUAGAAAUGCAAGCCAACACUGCGAGCUCUGGAAAAAAAAAAAAAAUCCAUGCUCUAAACACCUCCACGGGGCCGAAGCCUGCCAGAGAAGAAGGCACACAGGGGAUGGACCCGCCGGCAACUUUUCCCCAGGCUUGGACCAGCAAUGCUCGGGACGUACCAAGAAUCCUCACCCUAGACGCUGCAGUCACCUCCCGCAGGAGCUGCCCCCUGCUCUGGCUGGUCAAACGGAACCAAGUCCGUCUUCCUGAGAGGUUUGGUCCCCUUCAACCAGCUACAGCAGGGCUGGCAAGGCCCAGUCCUUGGAGAAACAGAAGAGAUUCACCUGUGGAUGAAAUUACCUACUACCUUUUCCCUUAAGAAAAUGACUCAUUUUGUUAUCACACUCUCAUGCUCCCGGGAAGGGAGAAACGGGGAGCCCUGGGUUCAAACAUGAGCCAGAUUUCCAUGCUCUACACACAGAGCUCUGUGCCUGAACACCCACAACUAGACUCACUCACAUGCUCUUGACACACAGUAAAGAUUUUAGGAUGGACUGUGUUUCAGCCCUGGGCCAGCCAGGGGAACAGCACGAGCCCCAGAAGAUAGGGCUCCUGCUCAAAGGCGCUAAGAGUCUAAGUAAAGAAAUUGGACGUGUGAAUAUGGCACAAGUCAGGGAAUUGCAAGUCAUGGCAUGGCUCGUUCCAAGAUGUAAUUCUUUUACACAGCCCACCAAAUAUGCCUGACACACUGUAUGCUACCAAGUCAGCCCAAAGAGAGCUAUUCAAUAAGAAAUUCACAUGUAGCUCAGUUUCCCAUCUGCAGAAUAGGGGUAGUCAUAAUUAUAGCACCCACCACAUAUGGCUUUAUGUGGAAUGGAAUGAGAAUACACGGAAAGGAGUUACAAAGCUCUCAAAAAUUUUUACCUGCUAUUAAAGAGGAAAUCCUGACCUGCCUUCCAAUUUCUCUCUCAAAAUUUCUAUCUUAGACAGUGUUCCUUGGGAUGCGCCCAGGACACAGCUAGGGUUACACAUGCUGAUGGAAUUCCACAAGCCUGUGUUCACAUGCUGCCCUCUGACACAAAUGUGGUCUCAUGACGUCCGGAGACCACCAAGUCUCCACACAGGGAAGCUUAUUUGGUGCGUAUCUGCACGUGUCCAGGGGGUCAGGGAGACCUGGGUUUGAAUCCUGCACCUCUCGUUUAUUAUCUCUGAUGUAGCCUCCCUGAGCCUCAGUUAACAAUGUGUAAACCUUAGUUUCCUCGUCUGUAAAAUGGGGGCAAUACUUAAAGUUGAUUUAAGGAUUUUUAAAAGGUAAUGUUUAUCAAGAGCCACAUACAGGCCCCCAGGAAAUGGCAGCUGGUGUUGCUUGGCUGUUGUACGUACAGUUCAAAGAAAGUGUUGUGUCCACAGGCACUCGUAACUGAAAGGGAGAAACCAGAUUUUUUUAAAAAAAGAAAGAAAAACUCAAAAAAUCAAUAAAACCUCAUUACAGGGUAAUUUUAUAUUCCAGCUGUUAAUUCUACUAUCAUGUAACAUGCCUUCAUUCUGGUGUGUGUUACUAGUAUGUAAUAAGAUUUACUAAAAAGUAAAUGCUUCAUACAUGAGACUGAUCAUCUUGCCUUCAAGAAACAUCCUACCUGGAAAGCUCUCAUUUGUGAACACUGUCAAGAUGCCAGUCUGAAACCACUGAGGGUAUGAAGGCCCAUAGUGUGUGAAGUUUAGACCAUAGGCACUGAAGCCAGACUGCCUGGGCUUAGAUCCCAGCACCCUCACCCCUCUGUGCCACUUUGGGCAAAUUGUUUGACCUCUCUGGGCCUGGGUUUCCUCAUGAAGAAUGGGGAUAUUAAUGAUAAUAUCUACCUCAUGGGGUUUGCAUGAGAAUGAAAUGAAAAUACUUGUAAAGGUAUAAAACCAGUGCUGGGUGCAUAAUAAACUUUGAAGAGUCUUUAUCUUUGACAAUUACCUAAACUGUUCCUGAAACUGAGUUGGUGUUCAAUAAAAAUGUUCUUUAUCA